rnacentral:rRNA from 1 species
UGGAGAGUUUGAUCCUGGCUCAGGACGAACGCUGGCGGCGUGCCUAAUACAUGCAAGUCGAGCGGACAGAUGGGAGCUUGCUCCCUGAUGUUAGCGGCGGACGGGUGAGUAACACGUGGGUAACCUGCCUGUAAGACUGGGAUAACUCCGGGAAACCGGGGCUAAUACCGGAUGGUUGUUUGAACCGCAUGGUUCAGACAUAAAAGGUGGCUUCGGCUACCACUUACAGAUGGACCCGCGGCGCAUUAGCUAGUUGGUGAGGUAACGGCUCACCAAGGCGACGAUGCGUAGCCGACCUGAGAGGGUGAUCGGCCACACUGGGACUGAGACACGGCCCAGACUCCUACGGGAGGCAGCAGUAGGGAAUCUUCCGCAAUGGACGAAAGUCUGACGGAGCAACGCCGCGUGAGUGAUGAAGGUUUUCGGAUCGUAAAGCUCUGUUGUUAGGGAAGAACAAGUGCCGUUCAAAUAGGGCGGCACCUUGACGGUACCUAACCAGAAAGCCACGGCUAACUACGUGCCAGCAGCCGCGGUA